GGAGCAUAUCACGGUCGCCGUCGUAUUCUCGACGGUCUCGAUCUCCGGUGAGUCGUCGUCGCAGCAGUCGCCGGAGACGACGUGACCGAAGCCGGUCACCCUAUUCCAGCAGGAGAAAGAGUCGCUCUGGUACUCCUCACCGCCUUCGGAGCCGUUCUCCAGCUACAAGGCACAAAAGAAGUCGGUCCCCGACGACUAGGCGUCAUAGGAGACGACGAAGUCACAGUUCCUCAGAGUCUCCUAUACCCAAGUCUCGAAGUCCUAGUCUUACAUCCACUGAGCGUAAAAGUGCUGCUGAAAAAUUGAAAAAAGAAGAAGAAGAAAAGAAAAGGUAAAUUCUUGGGGAACAUUUGGGGCGGAAAAUGUGAGAGGUUUGUGUCUAUGGGUUAGCACUUUUAGAGAGCAAUUGAUGGAGUGAGAGAGUGAAAUAACAAAAGGAUAGCAUGUGGUUUGCUCAAUGGAGAGUAGAGAGAGAAAAGAAAGCAAAAAGAAAGGAAAGGAAAAGAAAGAGAAAAGAGAAAAGUGUGGAGGGGAGGAGAAGUGGGGUAAGGUUGAAUUUGGCUGUUAGCUACUUUGGUGAGAUCCAAUUUAUGGAAAGUGAAGAGAAAAUGAUGUUAAAGUUAGUGGGGAUUAGUAAUAGUAUCAUGAACAAAUCAUUCUUUGUAUGAAGUUUCAUUUACGAGGUCUUUUUCUUCUUUAAUUUAUGUGUAUAAGUUUAAUUUGGGGUG
rnacentral:misc_RNA from 1 species